rnacentral:lncRNA from 1 species
AUAAUCACCCUUUUCUUAAUCAAUCACAUUAACUAAGAAACAACUUAAACAAUUGGUUUUUGGAUUCAUAGAAUUGAUUUAAAUGGAACUAAAUGAAAUGAAAAUCCAAUUCUCAUUAAAGAGACAAAACCAUUUUGUUCUCAUUUUAUUUGGCCAAAAAACAAUGACCUCAACAAUUGGGCCAUAUUUAAUAAACAUAAACUUUUGGGGUCACUUUGUAAAAACACAAAAGUCCACAACUUCAUGUAAUUACAAUUAGAACCCAAAAUUUUUAACAAUAACAAAAACAUUAAUAAAGGAACAAAACAAUUUGUCCUUUAGAGUUUUUGGACCUUAACGUAAAAACGUAAACUUUUGGGCCAAAAUACAAAAACACAAAAGUAUCAAAACUUUAUGUAAUUGCAUAAAGGCCCAAAAUCACCCCCACUUGGGGUUGGCCGGUUUUAGAGUGAAAAAGAGUGUGAAAGGGUUUUAUGCAAGUGGAAUAUGCAAGUGGAAUAGGUGGGUGAGGAUAAAGGUGAAUGGGAUGGGUUGUAAGAAAAAUGUUUUGUGAAACAUUAAUAGCAUUUAUCAUCCUCACCAAUAAUCCAUCCCCCAUCAUAAAUAAACCAAAAAUUUAUGAAAAACACCAAACACUUUGAAUCAAAAUUCCAAACCCUUUUGUUCUUGGUAAGAAACUCAAGAACAUUGAAGAACACACAUGAAAACUCAUAAGAGCUCCAUGAAUGUUUUCACUCAUUAAAACUCAAAUUUUCACAACACAAAAGAGGGUUAAUAUCCUAGGGUACUUAGGGGUUCCAAAAGUCACUUUAAAACCAUU